UAUUAACCCAGAUGGCAAUCAUGGACCUGAGGGUAAGACUACUGAAAUUGAUGAUUUUGAAAAACAUCAACCUAAAAAACGAAAAUUGGAUUUUACAAAAAAGAAAUGUGAUGUCUCUGAGACCAGUAAUUCAAAAAAAGACACUGGGUCUGGUUUUCCUGAAGUGAUUGAAGUAUGUGAUGAUUUAAUAUUUUAUAAAAUACAUUGAGAAUUAUUUUUAACUCUGGUGAAUAAUUAUUAUAUUUCAAGAUCUAAAAACAAUAAGCUCAUUAAAAUUUUUUAGGUUCCAAAAACACCAUCAAAAACUUCAGGUUCUAAUGUGACUCUAACAAAAGUAGUUGAUUUGACAGAUGAGCCCACUACUAAUACAACACAGUAUGUAACUAAAAAGGAUUUCACCGAAGCAAUGAAAAACGUAAUGGAUUUUUUUCAAAGUUGCAAUAAUCAAAUUAAAGUACUAGUCGGACAAAGUGGAAACCAACCAAGUUGCUCAGGGGCCAGUUCUGCUACUAAUAAAUCAUCAAAAG